rnacentral:lncRNA from 1 species
UGACCAGGGCCAGCAGACAGCUGACACCGGUUCACAGCAACAGGUGGUUCCUGCUGACAUGAAGUUAGGACCUGCAGAGGGACAACAAACAGGGUUCACACUCCUGCAUGCUCAGCUGAAUUGAUCUGGAUUUUUUCCCUCACCAUUUAGCUGAAAUUUAAAUGUAAGGAAGGAUAUCGCUUUGCUGGGUGAUAAUCAGGCUGGAUGUUAUUCAACCAUCCGGCAGCUGAAGGACUUGGUGCUCACAGUCUAUUUCCUGCGACCACAGCCUGCACCGUCAACUUCUCCACAUGCAUCAGAACAUCCCCCAGCAUGCCUUCACUCCCGUCCUGCACCAGUCCUCGAGCAUCCUGCCAAAUCCAGCAAUGAUGGGACCUCAGGACAGAAAUUUUAACACAAACCUGCCCGGACAAACAAUGAGGACCUUCUUUGCACCCAUCACAGCCUCGCACAGAGCAACAAAAAGAUCCUUUAACUCAACAAGACGAGGGAGAUGGGGCGCACUGCAUGUGUGUAUUGCGUGGAAAAUUUACUACCACAAACAACUCAAGAAACUGCAACAAAUGCACAGCAGUCAACAGGAGCUGACACCUGAGUGUCCUGCUAGCAGUCCCUCUGCCUCUGUGCAACAAAAGGAAAUACACCAGCCGUGUGCACACCCAUGUUCAGGUGGAAGCAAGAGUGUAACUGCAAGCUGUGACAGUUCUGUCUCCGACCUUCAAACGCCUCCACCAGUGUCUACCCACAGCCGUGCAAACUGGGAGAAACUUGACUGUGAGAAGCAGGACCAGCACUCAACACCUGAUGAGAAAGAGAAGCACCAGAUCCGCCAAUCUAGCCCAACAAAGGAUUUAACUCAUAAAGAGAAGUUCAGGGAAUUAAUAGUCACUUCUGACCUUGAUGGCAGACACAGCGGCUCGCUUGACAGGAAGAGGCAGUUUGAGUGUGAAGCCAUCAACAAAGCAAAGAGAAUGAGGCACGAAAUGUUCAACAGUCCGUUUGGUUCUUCUCAGACUUUGCAGUAUUAUCCAUCUCCAUUCAUCACAACUUAUACACAUCCACCAGCACACAACAUGCAAGUGCAACACACUAACAUGAGUGAUUGCUCUUUCCUGUAUCCUAACAGCAUUAGAUUUAAUGCGUCUUAUCCAGGCACCAAGUCGCAUCCCUGCCAAACUUCUUCAUGGGAGACAAUGAGGGACACACACAGUUUCCAUUUAAGGAAACACACCCUUAAAGACUACUCGCUGAAUACCUGCAAGGCAAUCAGGAAACCUCUUGUAACAAGAGGUAUCACGUCACCUCUUUAUUUCCUUCGAGGGAGGGAGACACUUCUGUCUAGAGAAGUGUCAACACCGCUGCAGAUGCCAGCGGCCUCAUACUGGCUUUCUAGCAAUGCAGUAUUGGGACCCUGA